rnacentral:tRNA from 3 species
UGGCCAGGUAGCUCAGUUGGUACGAGCGACCGCCUGAAAAGCGGUAGGUCGGCGGUUCGACCCCGCCCCUGGCCAUCC